rnacentral:rRNA from 1 species
ACUGAAUAGAUACCCCGGUAGUCCUAGCCCUAAACGAUGAAUGCUUGGUGUGGCGGGUAUCGAUCCCUGCCGUGCCGAAAGCUAACGCAUUAAGCAUUCCGCCUGGGGAGUACGGUCGCAAGGCCGAAACUCAAAGGAAUUGACGGGGGCCCGCACAAGCGGUGGAGCAUGUGGUUCAAUUCGACGCAACGCGAAGAACCUUACCUGGGCUCGAAAUGCAGAUGACAACCGAUGAAAGUCGGCUCCCGCAAGGGCGUCUGUAUAGGUGCUGCAUGGCUGUCGUCAGCUCGUGUCGUGAGAUGUUGGGUUAAGUCCCGCAACGAGCGCAACCCUCGUCCUCUGUUGCCAUCAGGUCAAGCUGGACACUCUGAGGAGACUGCCGGUGAUAAACCGGAGGAAGGUGGGGAUGACGUCAAGUCAGCAUGGCCUUUAUGUCCAGGGCCACACACGUGCUACAAUGGCGGAUACAAAGCGCUGCAAACCCGCGAGGGUGAGCCAAUCGCAUAAAGUCCGUC